GUCACUCGAUUGACACCAUGUCUUCAUUCAACACUCCAGGAUCUGCACUCACCAAGGAGGAAGCUUCUCUACUGACCGGGAAUCACAUCGGGGUGAAGAUAAAGAACAAAUUUGGUAACGUGGAUGUCAAAAAUUGCUGUGUUAUUCCCAACAGCAGAGGUAGGGAUUGCAUCCAGAGAAUCAAUCCCAGCAUCCCAAGUGGGUUUUUCUGGAGAAACCAGUGGUCUUCCUUGUACUAUCAAACUGGCAGCUUCUUCACUUUGAAGUCCAUCAACAGCUGCCUGAAGGGAAAGACACUGUAUCUUAUGGGAGACUCUACAGUUCGCCAAUGGAUUGAGUAUUUGAUUACAAUAC